rnacentral:rRNA from 1 species
AUUGAACGCUGGCGGCAGGCCUAACACAUGCAAGUCGAGCGGCAGCGGGAAAGUAGCUUGCUACUUUUGCCGGCGAGCGGCGGACGGGUGAGUAAUGCCUGGGGAUCUGCCCAGUCGAGGGGGAUAACUACUGGAAACGGUAGCUAAUACCGCAUACGCCCUACGGGGGAAAGCAGGGGACCUUCGGGCCUUGCGCGAUUGGAUGAACCCAGGUGGGAUUAGCUAGUUGGUGAGGUAACGGCUCACCAAGGCGACGAUCCCUAGCUGGUCGGAGAGGAUGAUCAGACACACUGGAACUGAGACACGGUCCAGACUCCUACGGGAGGCAGCAGUGGGGAAUAUUGCACAAUGGGGGAAACCCUGAUGCAGCCAUGCCGCGUGUGUGAAGAAGGCCUUCGGGUUGUAAAGCACUUUCAGCGAGGAGGAAAGGUUGGUAGCUAAUAACUGCCAGCUGUGACGUUACUCGCAGAAGAAGCACCGGUUAACUCCGUGCCAGCCGCCGCAGUAACAC